rnacentral:lncRNA from 1 species
GUGCGUGGUUGGUGGGUUGGCCAAGAUCUGCAUUCUGCGACUUCGUCUUCACCAUGGACACAAGCAAGGACUGAUUCGUGGGUCUUGGUAGCAGUGCCGAGCAUCGGCGGAUCGAAGAGGUCGAGGUCGCGGUUGAUCGACCAGGACGAGACAUGCAUCUUGGAGCUAGCGCAGAGGGGGAAAGAAGCAGGUUGGUCUGGCCUGGCCUCGCAAAUGAAUUGGUAUGUAGUCUAGUUCUUCCCAUGAAGGUCACAUGCCUAACUUCGUGCUAGACAUUGCUAACUCAGCCACUUGAUGUUAAACUCUGUAUGCGUAACUAGACCUAGCUAACUCCAAGAUUCGAUGUGUUAAAUUAAAGUACCAAUCAGGCAUGUUCACCACUUUGUACGUGUGUGCUCUUGCAUUGCUUACUAUAUCUUGUUGUAUAUGAUGGUCCAUUGUCAGCUAUACAACUUUUGAAUUCUGUCAAGUUCAGUUCAGAUUUGAUUUUUUUUCACCUCUUUUUGCAUGGACAAUGUGUCUGGUGUUUAAAUGAUGGCUACUUGAAAUUCAUAGGCAUUGUGAGGUUAGAAAGGAUUCCAUUUUGACUAUUUUUUUCACUUUGGUUCAAAGUUGUUAGCUGCUACACCUACACGUGGAAAACGUACACUUGGCAUUCUAAAAUUAAGCAGCAACCUUUAUUGCCGGUCAUUUAUAAGUUCAGUGACAAGACAACUGCUGACACAGAGUUCUACCUCUCUGACUGAAACAGGAACUAUGAAGAGUAAUAUAGUAGAAACUAUAGUCAUAGAAACUAAAUUAGAAAUUUACAAGGCAGUGGAACCAGUUCAUAUUUUGUGAGCAACCAAAGUCUCAAGCAGCCUAAAUUCGUAAACUUUUAAUGAACUGGCUUAUGAAAAUUUGAUGGUUUUGUCAAUAGUACAGUAGUACUGGAUAUUCUGCUGUUUCUUGACCUGAUUUUACUACUACGACAUGCAGAAACCUUGAUGCAAAAGGAAACUUCCUGAAGAAGAUAUUGAAAAUCCAACAUCACAGCAUAUAGGAGACUACUUAUUUUGGUCAUGCUGAUCGAUUGGCCUAUGAAACUUCUGCGACUUCAUAUUCACCAUGGACACAAGCAAGGACUGAUUCGUGGGUCUUGGUAGCGGUGCCGAGCAUCAGUGGAUCGAAGUGGUCGAGGUCGCGGUUAAUCGACCAGGACGAGACAUGCAUCUUGGAGCUAGCGCAGAGGGGGAAAGAAGCAGGUUGGUCUGGCCCGGCCUCGCAAAUGAAUUGGUAUGUCCAGUUCUUCCCAUGAAGGUCACAUGCCUAACUUCGUGCUACACAUUGCUAACUCAGCCACUUGAUGUUAAACUCUGUAUGCGUAACUAGACCUUGCUAACUCCAAGAUUCGAUGUGUUAAAUUAAAGUACCAAUCAGGCAUGUUCACCACUUUGGACGCAAAAACAAAGUGUAUGAGCAUGCAAUGUAUAAUUGGUGAGAUUAGGGGAAUGUACUGACAAGUGAUGAGCAUAUUUUCUUGUGUGUCGUCCUCGAUGUUGCUUCCUUGGCUCACACAGUAGUUCUCUUAAUACGUACCGUACUCGAUUUGAUUGGCAGGCUUCAGGUAAUUCAUGUUCGUGUGGUAAGAAUCGAUUGUACCACUUUGUUGAUGCAAUAACAUCAAUGGACCUGUACUGCUACGAGUUACAUCAUGAACUAUGUGCUACUUUAUUAAUUGUAGUUUCUUUGUUCAGUUAGUUCUCUGAAACAAAACCACUUCUCUCGAUGUAUAUGUUUCUUGGCAAAAUUUGUUGUAAUACUAAUCUUCCAGAGAUUGUUGUAAGAAAUAACUAUAUUUAGUAUCUUACCUCAUCAGUGGGUUAAUUAUAUAGAAUAACUAAUAAGGAGAUUUCUUAGCAGUAUUGUAUAUGUUUGGAGCAGUGAGACAAUUUUAUCGUAUAUGACUUUCUUUCACUUGCCUUUCCUGAUUUCGUUUUCCCCUCCAUUUAUUUCAGGUUCCAAAGUUUGACCGUAGCUAGCUUGAUUUGGAGACAUUUCAUGUUAGGACUUAAACUUUGGUACCUUUGUUACUUGGUAUUCCCCUGUCAGCGUUCAGGUAUACACUAUCUACCAUAUUGUUUAAUCUGGGGUUUACUACGGUGCCAAGUGUACUAUAUUGCUAGAUUCAACUUUAACCUAUGAGUUGCUCUGUAUCUAUUUCAGCAUAAAUGAUUCAACUUUAACCUAUUUAAUUAGUGAUCUUACUUCUGUUGCUUCUUGGUGAAUAUGAAAUAUAUGGCGUUUUCAUGGAAGCAGGAGUCGGGUAGUUGUGGAGUGGGUCGUGGGAGAGACCGUCGGCGAGAGCGGGCUGGAUGGGAAGGUGAUGCCUGCGAUGGCGAACAUGCCGGCGAGCAGGGAAGGGUUGACCAUGGCCAUUGCGCAGCUGAAGAAGUCGAAGCCUGGGGCGAGGUUGGCCACCGUGGCCGAUGUGAAAGCUGACGGACCUAAAGGCUGGUGACAGGUUCACCGCCAUCACAAUCUCUGAACUUGGUGGAGACGCGGAAGGAGAGCGGUGGCGCCGUGAAGACCUCAACGUUUGCUGCCGCGGCCAUGACCAUGAUCAUGACCAUUGUGUUGGUAAUAAAUAUACUAAUUGUAUACAUAUCCCCCAGCUUAGGAAACAUUAGAUAAAUAUCCAACUUAUUAUUGAAAAAGCUUGAUUCAAAAUAAAUGGAACCUUUCCUAUAUACAAUGAGCUUCGGAAACAUUAGAUAAAUAUCCAACUUAUUAUUGAAAACUCUUGAUUCAAGAUAAAUGGAACCUUUCCUAUAUACAGUGACCUUAUUAUUGAAGGUUGCAUCGAUUGUGCUAUUAUUGCUGAAAUAAGAGGCUUAUGAAUUUGUCAAUCUUUGUGUACCUUGUAAUAGUGACACGUUGUUGCGUGAAGUUGAGUGAUACUCCCUCCGUAAAGAGUGUUUAGGGAGUAC